rnacentral:rRNA from 1 species
UACGGAGGGCGCAAGCGUUGAUCGGAAUCAUUGGGCGUAAAGCGCGUGUAGGCGGUCUGGUCAGUCGGGUGUGAAAUACCGGAGCUCAACUCCGGAACUGCAUUCGAUACUGCCAGGCUAGAGUCCCGGAGAGGGUGGUGGAAUUCCCGGUGUAGAGGUGAAAUUCGUAGAUAUCGGGAGGAACACAAGCGGGGAAGGCGGCCACCUGGACGGUGACUGACGCUGAGACGCGAAAGCGUGGGGAGCAAACAGG